AAUGUUAACUCUAUUCAGUCAAUAUACAUAGAUCAUUAACUGUCAUCCACCAGCAAGAGAGUAUACUCUACCCUAAGAAGUGGAUGACUUAGUAGGUCCCUUUGGGAGAUGACCAAGUCAGGAGAAGAAGGGGAGAAAGAACAUUCUGGGCAGAGGGAACAGAGUGUGAAUGAACUCUUCUUGGAGAUCAAGAUGAUGAAGUGAGUGCAGACUCUGGGAGGAGGGAAGCCAGCAGCCAGGAUGAGCAGCCAUCAACAUUCUUCUUCAGCUUCUUCCAGUACUGAAACCACAAUUCAAGGUUUGAAAAUGAAUGCUUGUAGAUGAUAUAGAAAGGAAGGGAACAUAAUGUAUUCAUUUAAUCAACAGUUAUAUAACAACUAUAUUUUUGGAUGCAAGCUAGAUGGUAUCACUAUUUUUAAAACCCUCCUGUGGCUUGCAGUUGCACUAGAACCAAAUCCAGAUUCCCUACCAUGGCUUUCAAGGUCUUACCUGAUCUGUCCCCUGCCUCCCUCUCUUUCUCUCUUACUUGCUAUAAUCCAUCCAUUUAGGUCUCUUUCUGUUCCUUGGAUAUGCUCCAGCUGUUAGGUCUGUACGUUCUGUGUCUAUAUCCUCUUCUUCUUUAAAAAAAAAUGUUUCAGAAUGGUUCCCCACAGUUUAUUGAGAUAUUACUGACACAUAACAUGUAUAAGUUUAGGGUAUACGAUAUGAUGAUUUAUUACAUGUAUAUAUCACAAAAUGAUGACUACAAUAAGGUCAGUUAACACGUCCAUCCUUUCACAUAAUUACUCUGUGUGUGUGUGUGGGGGGGGUGACAACAUUUAAGGUCUAUUCUCUUAACAAUUCUCAAGUAUAGAAUACCAUAUCAUUAUUAAUAGUCAUCGUGCUGUACAUCACAUCCCUAGAACUUCUUCAUUCUACAGCUGGAAUUUUGUACCCUUUAAUCAACAUCUCCCAUUUUCCUCACCCCUCAGGAUCUAACAACUUCCAUUUUUAUUCUCUAUUUCUUUAAGUUCACUUUUUUCAGAGUCCUCGUAAAUGAGGACAGAUAGUAUUUGUCUUUCUCUAACGUAUUUCACUCAGCAUAGUGCCCUCAAGCUUCGUCCACAUUGUUGCAAAAAGCAGAUUUUCCUUCUUUUAAUGGCUGAAUAAUAUCUCAUUGUAUGUGUAUACAUUUUUCUUUUUUUUCUGCUAUCUAUCUAUCUAGUCUAUCUCAUUUUCUUUAUUCAUUUAUCUCUUAGUGGACACUUAUGUUGUUUCCACAUCUUGGCUGUUAUGAAUGAUGCUGAAAUAAAUGGGGGCUCAUAUAUCUAUUUUAGACAGCAAUUUUGUUUUCUUUAAAUACUCAGAUGUGGAAUGGCUGGAUCAUAUGAUAGUUCUAUUUUUAAUUUUUUGAGGAAAGGAAACUUCAUAUUGUUUUCCACAGUGGUUGCACCAAUUUACAUUCCCAGCAAGAGCGCACAUGAGUUUCCUUUUCUCCACAGCCUUGCUGACACUUGUCUCAUACGUAUACACAUUUAUUUGAUAAUAGACAUUCUAACAGGCAUGAGGUGAUAUCUCAUUGUGGUUUUGAUUUGCAUUUCCCUGACUGGAUCUUCUUAAUGUUUUUUUCAUUCCAUUCAAAUUGCAGCUCAAAUAUCACCACUCAAAGAGGUUUUGUCUCACCACUCUGUCUAUGGUACCCUUCCUAUCACACUAUACUGGACUGUUUUAUAUAUUUUAUUGAUAGCAAUUAACAACUGAAAUUAUCUUGUUCAUUUAUUUGUUUGCUCUGUCAUUGUCAGUCUUCAUCUUACUAAAAUAAAAGCAUCCAGAGGAUAAAAAUCUUGCUUGUGCCAUUCACUGUUGAUCUUUGGAGCCCCCCAGAACUGCAGGCAUACAGAAGGCUCUUGAAUAGUGGUUUUUUAAUUUUUAAAAAUUUUAUUGACACAUAGUUGAUUUACAAGUUUGUAUAAUUUAUGCUGUACAACAACAAAGUUAUACAUGUACACACAUCCAUUCUCUUUCAGAGUCUUUCUCUCUACAUAGAUUAUCACAGAAUAUUGGGUAGAGUUCCCUGUGCUAUGUAUCUUGAAUAGUGUUUUAAAAUGCAUGAUUAAAUGAGUAAAUGAAUGAAUGAAUACAAUGUCUAAGCACCAGAGAUGACAAGGUCAUCAGGGUUUCCUGUAAGAACUCAUGGUCCAGGUAACUUGUUUUAGUAAAAUGUGCUAAGUGUUAACUAGGGUACAUGUAAAAUGUUGGGGAAGAACAGAGAUUGGGGGCUGGAAGGCUUCAGAGAAAAAGUGAUUACUAAGUAGAUCCUCUAUGGGGAUGAUAGAAAGUUGGCCAGAAAAAGAAGGGGAAGAAGGACAUUCUGGGUAUAAGUAACAGUAUGUGAAGAGCCUGUUCUUGGAAAUCAAAACAAGGAAGGGGGUGCAACUCCAGGCACUCAGAAAUGACAUUCUGGUUUUUCAUGACACAGAUUUCAAAUACAAUUAAGACAAAAAAGUGGUGUGCUUCCAUAUUAGGGGUCCUAUUGCAUAGACAUUCUACUCAAGAAGAAUUAGAAGAAUCUUUCCAAAGAAUAACUAUAAAUCUCUAACAAGAAAGGAGGAACAUCUAAGAGGCUCUUGGAUGUAUUUAUUUUUUAAUAGAAAAAUAAACAGAAUACAGACACGUCUCAAUGCUCUUGGAGAAGUGGAAUGAGGGAGAUGAAACUUAGGGAUUGUGUAACGCCAGAAACAGUUGUGGCUUAGAAAAAUUCUCAUAGCCCCAGAGGACUUUCAGACCCUCCAUAGAUAAUAGAAAUAUAAACCAGGCAGUCCCUCUGCUUACAGAAGUUAGCGUAAUAUAAUAGCGGACAGAAAGCAGGCAAAAUUUUCAGAGUGGAAAUAUAAGCAGGAGCAAGUGCAAGGAAUAAAGAUCAAGAGAGAUGAAUGUAAUGUCACAUACAUUUAUGCUUCUAGACUAAAAACACACUUAAGUUAAUGAAAUAAUUAAACAUUUUGAUAAUGGAGAGAUUUGUCAGUUUCUCUGAAAUAUGGAGAAUGAGAGAAGGAAGUAUCAGAACAAAUGGCAAGUACAGAAGAAAAAUAUUGUUGCCCUACCCGGGAAUGAUCUAUAUGGGAUAUUGUAGUUAAUUCUGGUGUAAGAUGACACAGAAAUUACUUUCACUCUCCAAAAAAUACCCCUUUGGGUUAUAGUCACUGUAUCUAAAUCCAGACAUUUCCUGGCUUGGCUUAGUUGUGACGAUUUGAGCCUAGUUGAUUUAAAAAAAUAUAUCUAUAUAUUUUUUUUUCCAUUGAAUUUCCCUAGACCUCAGAUAGUGCUCCAAAAUGUGUCCUUUGGCUGAACCAUGUGAUGUAGAAAAUUCUCAGAACCACAAUGGUUUGGACAUUGAUCCCUUAAUGGAUAUUAAGGAGUUAUUGUGAAAUACUGAGUUUUAAGGGUCUGGCUUCAACUAUAUGGGAAAUUUAUCCUUUCGAUCAUAGAGACCUGCUCUUCCACUCCUAAUGAUUUGACAGUAAAUACAUGUUCUGAAUAUCUCUGGUGCAUAUGUACAUUUAUGACACAUAACUGGACUUUUUGAGGUCUUUAAAGGGCGAAAGAGAGAAACGAUGAAAGCAUCCCUGGGGAAAUAAGAAGAACUCUUUGAGUCACAAAAUUACCCCCAAAUAGAGCAUGUUCAAAGGGACUUUUUGUCUGCAUAGUGAAUUAAAUUUUUUUUUUCAUGCAAACUACAUAUACUUUUGCAACUUAGAAUUUAGCAACUCAUCUAAACCACUGAACGUUAGGAAGUAUUCCUGCCCAGUUUCUUAGAACUUUCACUGUUCCCUUUUCUUCUGAAGGCUGUUGUUAUGAACAUACAUGUCAAAAGUGAUUUAUGCGCUUCAGGAUAAGUCUCGGUCCAUGUUGUUAUUCAAAAUCUUCCUGGGCUGAUUCAAGACCGCAUCAAAAACAAAUUUACGAGUUGACGUGGUUGAACCGUAAAAAAAUUGACCUUAAGGUUUAGAUUGUUUCAAAUAAAUUGCCUCACUGAGUUCCAAGCCUCUUCCAAAUCGUUUUAAAUUUAAAUUUUACAUUGCGUGAAAACUACAUGUAUAAAGGCACUUAUCACUGGCAGUUACUAAAUUUAAAAUUAUAAACUAGGUAGAAGAAUUUUUUUUGCACUCCAGACAAUAGAUAACCAUUUAGCAACACUAAUUAUAUUCUGAUGAUUGAUGUAAUUUUUAUGUCAAAGAAUUUUUCCAAUUAGUAUCAUUUUAAGUUGUAAUAUCUAAAUGCAUACAUUCCUAAGCUGUAAUAGCAUGGGCUUAAGAGGUGGUGAAAACCAAGUGUUUCUAUUAAGUCCAAAGAGGACUAAAACAACUGGGUCACUUUGCAGCAGGAAUUAAUAGAACAUUGUAAAUCAACUAUAAUAAAAAAUUAAUUUUUUUUCGUUUUGAUAGAAUUUCUGUCUUACAGAAAACUUGCAAGAUUAUUACAAAGAAUUCCUGAAUGUUCUUUGCCCAGAUUCCCCAAAUAUUAGCAUUUUAGUGUAUUUGCUUUAUUUUUCUCUCUCUCAUCAUAUAUUCUGAAAUAUUUGAAAAUAAAUUUCAGGCAUGAGACUACCACCCCUACCCU
rnacentral:lncRNA from 1 species